rnacentral:rRNA from 1 species
GUGAGGAAUAUUGGUCAAUGGGCGUAAGCCUGAACCAGCCAAGUCGCGUGAAGGAAGACAGCCCUACGGGUCGUAAACUUCUUUUGUAUGGGAGUAAAAGAGUCCACGCGUGGGCUAUUGCAAGUACCAUACGAAUAAGCAUCGGCUAACUCCGUGCCAGCAGCCGCGGUAAUACGGAGGAUGCGAGCGUUAUCCGGAUUUAUUGGGUUUAAAGGGUGCGUAGGCGGCCCUAUAAGUCAGCGGUGAAAUGUUCCGGCUCAACCGGGAAACUGCCGUUGAAACUGUAGAGCUAGAGUCCACAAGAGGUAUGCGGAAUGCGUGGUGUAGCGGUGAAAUGCAUAGAUAUCACGCAGAACCCCGAUUGCGAAGGCAGCAUACUGGGGUGAAACAGACGCUGAAGCACGAAAGCGUGGGUAUCGAACAGGAUUAGAUACCCCGGUAGUCC